rnacentral:rRNA from 1 species
AAGGAGACCGCCAGCGCUAAGCUGGAGGAAGGAGAGGUCGACGGCAGGUCAGUACGCCCCGAAUCUCCCGGGCUACACGCGCGCUACAAAGGACAGGACAAUGAGUUGCGACCUCGAAAGAGGGAGCUAACCUCGAAACCUGUUCGUAGUUAGGAUUUGAGGGCUGUAACUCGCCCUCAUGAAUGUGGAUUCCGUAGUAAUCGCGGGUCAACAGCCCGCGGUGAAUAUGCCCCUGCUCCUUGCACACACCGCCCGUCAAACCAUCCGAGCUGGUGUUGGAUGAGGGUAUGUUCGAGAGGACAAACUCGAAUCUGAUGUCAGUGAGGAGGGUUAAGUCGUAACAAGGUAUCCGUAGGGGAACCUGCGGAUGGAUCACCUCCUAAGUAAUGUGAGUACAGGGCACAAU